rnacentral:rRNA from 1 species
CAGGAACGCUGGCGGCAGGCUUAACACAUGCAAGUCGAGCGCCCCGCAAGGGGAGCGGCAGACGGGUGAGUAACGCGUGGGAAUCUACCCAUCUCUACGGAAUAACGCAUGGAAACGUGUGCUAAUACCGUAUACGUCCCUCGGGAGAAAGAUUUAUCGGAGAUGGAUGAGCCCGCGUUGGAUUAGCUAGUUGGUGGGGUAAAGGCCUACCAAGGCGACGAUCCAUAGCUGGUCUGAGAGGAUGAUCAGCCACACUGGGACUGAGACACGGCCCAGACUCCUACGGGAGGCAGCAGUGGGGAAUAUUGGACAAUGGGCGCAAGCCUGAUCCAGCCAUGCUGCGUGAGUGAUGAAGGCCCUAGGGUUGUAAAGCUCUUUCACCGGUGAAGAUAAUGACGGUAACCGGAGAAGAAGCCCCGGCUAACUUCGUGCCAGCAGCCGCCGUAAAAC